GGCUCGAUGGUUUAGUGGUAUAAUUCUCGCUUAGGGCCUUCACCCUAAGUAUAAUUUGCGAGAGGUCCCGGGUUCAAUUCCCGGUUGAGCCC